AAGAAAUUGAGAAAUUUCCAGUUACCAUCUUAAGAUGUUCCAGGCCCAGAGAGAUGAAUGUUAUUAAAUAUUUGGGGAAUGAAAGCCUUUAACACUGUUUAAGUUAUUUCAGAGCAUACAGUGAGAAAGAUAUAUUCCAAAUUUCGCCAACCAAUCCAGCAUAACACUGAUGGCGAAACAUGAGAAACAGGACAGAGAAGGUACAAUGGAGAAAACCAGAGCCCCACCUUGCUCGUGUGAAUGUGUGUGUGUGUCUGUGUAUAUAUGUACAUAAUAGAAUUCAGCAACACAUUAAAAGAAUAAUAAACCAUACCCAGGUGGAUUUAUUUCAAAAAUGUAAAAGUGAAACAAUUUAAGAAUAUUUACUGGAAUAAUUCACCACAUUCAUAGGUCAAGGGAGGAAAAACGUGAUCAUUUCAAUAGAUUCCUCAAAGUUAUUUGAAAAGUUAAAAAUCAAUUUAUGGACUUUACAAAACUUCUAAUACAAUAGGAAAGCGUGUGUUAUUCUUUAAGAAAAUUAAAUCUAUGUCUCUAACAAAAACGUCUGCACCGGGCGAAUGAAGAGUGAGAUCAACCCAUUACAAUAGCAGCCAUUGAAUCAGAGAACAGAAAGAAAAUAGUGAAAAUAGAAGACAGGAGGGAAUAAUUUAUUAUUACUGAUAACAUAUACCGUUAAUUUUAUACCUGGACAAAACAGGAAAAUCAAUUGAAAAGCAAUUAAAGAAAAAAUAGAACUUGGGGGCCGGCCCGGUGGUGCAGCGGUUAAGUGCGCAGUUUCCACUUCUCGGAGGCCCAGAGUUCGCGGUUUGGAUCUCGGGUGUGGACAUGGCACCGCUUGGCAAAAGCCGUGCUGUGGUAGGCGUCCCACAUAUAAAGUAGAGGAAGAUGGGCAUGGAUGUUAGCUCAGGGCCAGUCUUCCUCAGCAAAAAGAGGAGGAUUGGCAGAGUUAGCUCAGGGCUAAUCUUCCUCAAAAAAAAAAAAAAAAAAAGUAGAAUUCAACAAAGAAGCUGGUUAUGAAAUUAACAUGCAAAAAUCAAGUUUUUCAUACAAAUAGUAACCAGGAGAAAAUAUAAUGAGGGAAAAUAGAAUUUAUAUAUUAGCAAUGAAUUGGAGGGGAAAUACCUAAGAAUAAAGUUAAGAAUCCACAAUACUUACGUGAAUAAAAGCAUAAUACUCUAUUGAGAGAACUCAAAGACAUAUUUGGAUAAAUUGAAAGAUAAAAGUUGGAUAAGAAAUCUCAUUAGUGUAAACUUCUCAAGUCCCCUAAAUUAACAUAGAAAUUCAAUGAGAUUCCAGUCACUGAGAAGUUAAUUCUAAUUCACAUAGAAAUAUAGCUAUAUAUUACAUAUAAUAUAAUAAUAUAGAAACACGUGUCAGAAUAGCCAGGAAUUUUGGGGGGAAAACCAAGGAGGAACUAGUCCUACCAGAUGCCAAAAUGUACAAAAGUACAGUAAUAAAAUGAAGUUAGUGUUGGUGGAGAAAUAGGUCAUUGGAACAGAGUCUAGAAACAGGCCCAAAUACAUACGUCAUUUAAUAUGUGAGGGUCCACGUGCGGAUCCCUAGGCUACUGUCUCAGCUUCGGAGCCGUCCUGCGCUCGCUCGGCGACGCUGGGCUGGGACGCCGAGCGCGUCUCUCUCGGCCGGCCGGCUGCCCGCCGGUGGUGCCCGCGGGGGCGCUGGGGGAGAGCCGAGCGGGAGGAGAACGGGCGCCGGCUCCUCCGGGCUGCCUCCUGCGGCCGCCGCUGCUGCCCGCGAGCCCUCUGCCUCGGCGGCGAGUGGCCGCUGUUUCCCACGACAGCGAGUUCCAGCGACCUGCGUCUCUCCACGUUCUCAACCAGGCUCGCGUUCUGGGUCUGGGCUCCCUAAGGCCCUCGCCAAACACCGAGAGAAAUUCUAGAGGAAUCAAAGAUUAGCAUAUAAAAAAAUCUGACAGGUUGCAGAUGAGAGGAAGGGGUGAGGAGGAUUCCGAAAAAAUGGCAGUUUAUUGUGCAGAAGCCGUGGCGCUUCCCGACCCAGCCCCAGUCCCGCUGCUCUUCUCCUAAAACAAGCCGCCGCUGAGGCUCCACGGGCGCGGGCAGCGCCCCGGCUCAGUCACCGGCCCGACGAUGGAGCUGGGGUGGGAGUUCCUCCCUGUGCCGGAGGAGAUCCCGGCGACCAGCAUCAGAGUCCUGGGGCAGCAGAGCGGCCAGCGUGGUACCUACGGUCAGGUUGGGCAGUCCGCGGGCCGCAGGGCAGGGCGGGGGCCCCAGGUCACGGCCCGGAGGAGCCGGGGUCUCUCUGGCCUCCGGGUCGAGCUGACUCCUCUCUGUCCCUGAGCAGCGGACGCUCAGGCUUCACUAGCCUUGGCAGCACGGGGCCCGUUGGAGGACUCGUAGCUCGCGGGCGCUCACGCCGCAGUCCACAGGCCGACUGCGGGCCGGCCCUCCUCCCGGGACGGUGACGACGGGACGGUGACGACGGCCGGGAGAGCGCCAGCGGCAGGGAGCCAGCGCGAGAGCCAGAGAAAGAGUCUCCUAGAGUCCCCGAACCGCUGGAGGGACAGACACGUGCCGGGAGCGCUCCAGGGUUCAAGUCCAGCCCUGGAAAGUCUUCCCGAUGAGAUGCGGAUGAACGCUCGCGCCUGGUGACGUCAGCUAAGAGAGAACGCAAAGACACAGUCACCAGCUUAUUACUCGGCACAGCAGUUUCUAGUCGGAGAACAUCACAUGGAAGGAAGAGGAGUGGCUGCCGCGUGGGGAUGAACCCGAAGCACACUGCGCAGUGGAGGAAGGAGGAGGAAGGAGGAGGAAGCAUGUCCCGUGACUCGUCAGUGGGCUGUGCGCACGCACUGGUUUUACACCUUUUGAACUACUCACGUAUUUACUUUUAUUGUGCCCUCAACGUAUUUUCUGUGAUAUAACUUUAUUUGUAGUGAAGUUUGGAUGCAAGAUCACCGUGAACCCCCUAAAUGUUGAGAAAUGGUUGAACGGUGCGGAAAGAAGGCCAUGCCUUCCAAAGAACCCCUUCUCCGCCAGCCCCCCCACUACCAAGUCUUUCUUCCUCCUUCCUUCCUCCUUCGCAGCAAGGUUUUCAGGAGAGAGCUGACAUCUUUAAGGGAAGGAUAGGUGCAUUUUUUGGAUUAGCGAUGCUCUCUGCGGAGUACAGAUGAAGUCGCAUUGCCUCAUGGAGCUCAUGGCUACUAUCUUGGGAACCAACUGAAGCAGCUGGAGAAUUGAAGUCGUUGGCAUUCAUUGGACCGUCUCCAUUCCUUGCUGUAGACAGAAAGACACCGUUCUCAACGUGUUGAGUUUGUGAUCCUAGGGACCAAGCUUUGGCCUUUUACCACUAAGAUGAAAUGACUACAGACCCAUUGACUAAGGACCACAAAGGCUCACGUAAACAUAAGGAAAAGGGUGUGUAUCACUAAGGAUUAGGUUUAACUAAAAGGCAGACCUCCAUGGUAACACUGCUGACUUAAGACAGUGGUAUAUUUCUCUGUCUUGUGUAAAGGUCUGUAAGGUAAGUAAUCCAGGGAUGUUGUAGGAUCUCUAUUCCUCUAAGUCUCCAGGAACUCAAACUCCUUCUGGCUUGCUGCUUUACCAUCCCACUGGUGUGGUCCUUAUCCUCAUAGUCCAAGAAGGCAGCUAGAGCUCCAGCUCUCUCACCACAUUACAAGCAGUGGGAUGGAAAGAGUGACAGAGAUGAAGGGGAGCAUGAUGGUUGAGAUUAUGUGUCGACUUGACUGGCCGUGGGCUGCCCAGAUUAAACAUUAUUUCUAGGUGUGUCUGUAAGGGUAUUUCUGAAUGAGAUUGACAUUUGAAUCUGUGAACUCAGUAAAGUAAAUUGACCUCCCCAAAGUGGGUGGGCAUCAUCCAUUCUGCUGAGGGCCUGAAUAGAACAAAAGAUGGAGGAAGGAGGAGUUCGCUGGGACAUCUCCUCUCAUCUUCUGCCUCAGACUAGGACUGAUGCUAUUGGCUCCCCUGGUCCUCAGGCCUUUGGACUCAGACUGAAUUAUAUCACCGGCUUUCCUGCGUCUCCAGGAUCUGCAGACAGCAGAUUGUGGGGCUUCCUCGCCUCCAUAAUCGUGGGAGCCAAUUCCUCAUAAUAAAUCGCCUUUGAUGUCUAUGUAUCCUGUUGGUUCUGUUUCUCUGGAGAAUUCUAACUAAUACAGGAAGCAAAGGGCAUGUGUCAGACCAUAGGAGGAAGCUUGAUAUUUUAAAACCUUUAUGCAUCUUGCUAAAAUCUUCAGCGUCAGAGAAAAGGUUUUAGUUGGAUGGUCCUGUUACACUGGCGUCUGAG
ensembl:lncRNA